ensembl:lncRNA
AUUUUGUUAUAUUUUCUUGGUGAUGGAGGAAAGCGACUGCCUUGCUGAAAUAACCUGAAGGAGCUCUUUAUUCCUGUUUCCCAUCACAAUUACAGUUCUUUUAGAUGAAAAUCUCACCUGCAUCUCAAUAAAACCGUGUGCUUUUAGAUUGAGGCCAAAGGUGCGGUUUUAUGCAGAUGAUGUGGACCUUCACUCGGUCAGCAGGACUACGAGGGUAAAAGUGGAACGCCAUGUCGGCCCCUUCGCGCCCGGACAGGAAAAGGACACCUGCAGGUUGUUUCUGACCAGGGAGGAUUAUUUUUGUACGUUUGUUGAGGCAGCGCUUCUCCUCAGUCGGAACCGGAGCUUCGCGCGCCGUGGAGGCUGUAGAGAUUCUCACAUUUAGAGGUCGCAGGAGACAUUCAAAGGGGGAGAACUUUGAAUUUCCAGCAAUUAGCUCACAGAAAAUCUCCUUCUAAUUUUUUACCAGGUUUUUGAUACAGCCUCAAGUUGUUUUUGAUUAUUAAAAGAAAACAUGAUUAAUGAUUAGUCUUCUGUGAUUUGUAAAAUCUUAGCCUAGAACUAUAAUUCAAUUAUGUACACUUUCUUUUUCUUUUUUCAUGGGUCACAUUUUCAAGUGUUAUUGUUUUGUUGUGUGUUUGAAUAUCAAAAUGUAUUACCCACUUUACAAAGACGGACAUAUUUUAUGUUAUCCCAGAUUUUAUUUCUAUGUCCUUUUACGUUUGCUAAUGAGUUUCAACUGAAAGUGACCCUUUGCAAUAAUGAUGUAAGACGCCGGCCGCUCGCUGGCUGGUUGAUGCAGCAGUUGUCAUCAUAUUGUUGGUUUUUUGCAGGAUGCCAAGGCUUUUUUGCUUAUCAAGUGUGCAUUGUCAUAAUAAAACCAACUGGUACGAUAAAAAAGAUCAACCUCCUUCAUUUGUGUAUCUGGGUUUCACCUUCUUGCUGGUUGUUUCCAUUUUCCAAACAUGACUGAUGUUCAUGGAUGAGCUUUUUGAUCAUGUCACUUUUCUUAUUGUCCCGCUUAGCGUUGAAUGGACGAAUCAAUAUGUCAUCUAGAUCUCUGGCGCUGCUGCCUGGCAACCUUCAGCGGCCUGUGAGCUCGCUGUGCCGUCCCUUCUGUCCUAAUUUGUUCUGCUAUUGAGUGACUGGUGGGCCUGUGCAGUUUGAAGGCUCUGCUGUGAAACAGCCCUUCGGUCUCUGCACACAUCGCCGGCCAUCCUUUGCAUUGAUUGCUCCCAGUAUCGAUUCCAUGUAAACAAUUGGGCUGGCAUCUGUUGCACGUCCGGAGUCGUUCGUGCCGGGGUUUAAUUUGGGGGGAGGGCAGGCGGCGAGGACGAGUGCGUCACCAAGACGCCGCUAGACGCUGAAACGGAUAAACGGAUAAAUGCCAAAUAUGAAUGGCGGUCUGAUUGAGACGAGAUGUCCUUCAGAGGCAGAGGGGGCUCAAUCAAGACCGUCAUGAUAAUAUGUCAAAUGACAGUAAAUAUACGUAUUUCAGCCCGUAGACCACGAGUCACCGUAGGACGGCACGAGCACGUUCUCAUCUCAAAUGUGCUGGAAAAUGUGAUUGGAGGAUUCUGGAAGAUUAUAAAUGUGCUGAGGUUGCAUUUCCCCCCCCGGGCCUUAAUCAGCCGCCUUCAAAGCACCAGACGAGCUCAAUCCAUCACAGGGAGGUUUGCUGAGAGUGAUUUGUGGAGCCUCUUUGUCUGCGUCCCGUCGCAGCAGGAUGAAACAGUCCGACCCCGACGGCGAGUCCUUCCGCGUCCACGCCGAGCGACGGCGGCCGCUCGUCCCGGUUUAUGUAAGGUCCUCGUGAAUGGAGAGGCCUGGUUGGUACUUCAUGGAGCCUCUAAGAAUAGCCGAACUGUACUUGAUAAAUAGGAGUACUUCCCAGAAUAGAACAGUGCCCCAGAGUGGCAUCAGUUAUCAGCAGUGAAGAGCCGGGUUCCUAUUCUCUGAAUUCUGAUUGAUUGAGCUGGAUGUUUAUACUGAGGAGAUUCAGUUAUAGUACAUUUCCACAUGAAGAGAUGAUGUAUAAGUGCUAGAAAGAGACUCACAAGUCAAAAGAAAUUAGAACUUAAACCGUGUCCAACUUAUUUUAUGGAAAUGUAGAAAAAUGAGCACAAUAACUUUGUCUUUGUCAUUUUCUAAAUGAGAGCAUGUGAGUUAUCGGUGAGGAACGUUGACCCUGUUUAGGGGCGAAGCGGCUCUCCACCUUCUGAGGGUCCGACCGGCGAAGUACGUGGGCUUCUUCUAUUAACCGAUCAUGGACACGGUCUCAGAUGGUUCCUCUUCCGUCCCGUCGUCCUCUGGCUAAAACAACCAGACUCAUCUUCACCAAAUAUUGGUCUCACUACGGUCUUUAAGUUCAACUUUCAAAGCGACUCGAUUCUCCUCUCAAACCCUCAUUUCAUAUUGCUGGUUUGGGGCGACCGCCUCCUCCCCCACGGUGAACUCUGUCCUCUGAGACCUCACAGAUGGACCAUGUCAACACCACGAGGACGACAAUGCAAGAGCAGCCGGAUCCUUUGAAGGUCUCACUGGGGUCUGUGGAGCCUCCAGAAUCCACAGGCAAAGGAAGCUGUAACGUUACGUCAUGCAGGAGACGUUCAGUCACGUCUUAGAGACCCUAGUCUGUGUGAAGACUUAAGCCGUCCCAAAAGCGUCCUCGCUUCAUGGUCUGUUUGACUAAUGACUCUGCUCUAUACUUUACUAAAUGAACAUCAUGCUGUACUGAAGGAGACUUGAGACGAAGGUGGAGAACCAUUAGCUGUGUCCCUCAUUCCCCGGCCUCGAAUGUGUCUUUUGGUGCUUGUCCGUCCACUGAUCCGGCGUGUCCACCUGGUCGCGGGACGUGUGGACAGACACUUGUCUGAUUCCCAGCGGUUUUAAUGGAGGCCACUGUGCGUGAAGCUCCAGUCCAAUCACUCAUCCUGUCACCGUGAGUGUUGUUGACCUCGUGUCCUCCAACAGAGGUGUGUGAGUGUCCCUCCUCUCCUUUAGUCCCGCCCCCCUCCCCCGCACGGCGGGUUCACCUGUCGAGGUCACUCUGACGCGCUCACACCUCCGGGUCCUCGAUCCAUCUGAGCCGCACGUCUAAAGGACUCCUCACAGACGGGACGUCCAGGCGGGGAAUUGAAGCGUUGACCUACUUGAGCGGACAAAUGACCUGAAGGCGUUUGUUCGUGACCGCAGUGCCUCUUGUUCGCUUCCGUUCAUCAAUCCCGCGCGUCGAGGACGUCUGAUGAGCAGCAUUACGACGUUACAAUGAGCUGCAGGCCCAGAACUCUAUAAAAACACAUUUAAACACAUUUCACUUUGAUUUAAUGGAGCCAAAGCAGAAGGUCGCCAGUAUGAACGGAAGCUACCAUCGACGCUGUAGAAGAAGGACCACCUCACGGAGGCUCCGCUUCGGUAAAUCAAGUGUUAAUAAUAAUAAUAAUAAUAAUCGACAUGCGCGGCCCUCCAGCCAUGUGGUCUUAUCUCACGUGUCUGGACCAGUUGGAUAAAUCCCAGUGAGCGAGACUAACAACAUUCACACUGCGGGAAACAAACAUCACAGCUCUGGUUUAUUACUUCUCACACGCACACACACACACACACACACACACACACACACACGGUUAGCAUUCUGUCUCAGCGUGUGAAGCGCUGCUCAUUUGUGUGUUGAUAGCGUGUAAUCUCCCAGGUGCCUGGUGGAAUCUGUGAGCACCGUCCUCCUGACAUUUGCAGAAUGCCAAGCGACGCCGCGCUCCGCUGUCCAAGGUGGAAGCGUGUUGUGCCGGUGUGUGUGUGUGUGUGUGUGUGUGUGUUGUCAUGCCUCAGUGUAUUUGUGCGACUGAUUCGGUUGCGUGGGCCGUUCCAGCGACGUCACAGUACCACAGAGCUCAAAGUCAGAGCCACUACCUGCGUCACUCACACUGCAAAUCACUCAGACUACAACGUCAUUCACCAUUUUCACUGAAUAGAGCUCGAAGUGAGAGAAAGAAAAGUGAGUUAUUCUGCCACACUGAGGGAGCAGCUGCUGCCACACAGGCGCCGGCCUGCAGGAAGAUGUCGGGUGUCUCGCUCAGGGGCACUUUAACACGUGGAGCAGCUGGGGUUCAAACCUUCAACCCUGCGGUCACCAGGGCACCUUCUCUUUCUGUGGCCGAGACAAGGGGCCCCGCGCGCUGCAGUUAGCACGCUAGCUGGCUAACCGGCCAGCUUCAAUGCGUCCUCCGUACGAUACGGUUUCCUCCUCUCGUCCCACGAGGUGUCCGAGGGAUUAAGCCCAUGUUUGUCAUCUUUGUGUCUGACAGGAUUUUAGUUUUAUAAACUUUCAACAAUGCUUGAGUAGUUAUAUUUCAUAACCACAGCUAAAAGUCAUUUCUACCACAAUAACUGGAUGUAUGUCCUUCUGCUUUAUUCUUGUAAUGGUUUCCGUCCCGUUUGGGGCGAAAGGGACCAAAGAGGCUUUGAGAUAAAACAAACUGGAAUGGAACAAGCUCCAAAAGGUGCCGCUGCUCCUUGUUAAAACGAGCUCACAGGACUCCAAUGAUUCAGGUGCCAGCUGCGCGUAACAUCUGUUUUAACGGCGGGUCAACGAUCGAUUUGAAACCACAGACGCCGGUUCUGCCCGAGCAGAGAGGCUUUCGUACACUGAGCGAUAAUAUAUGCGAGAUAUCUCCCCGUGUCAAGGACAGAAGCGCUGCUCUGACUUUGACGGAGGUCACUUCGCCCUGUGGCGUCACGCCACUGAGUGUUAUCAGUUUAACACGGACCCCCUGAGACGUGUCCUGUUUGCAAUAUUUACUCAAUGACCAAACUCCAGCGGAUUCCCACCUUUUCAUCGCUCCCCCCGAAGCUCCGACUGGGGGAACGCCUGGCAUCCUGCCAAUGUCGCCACAUGCCGAAACAUGUUGCUACAUGAUGCUACAUGUUAUGUCGCCACAUGCAGAUACAUGUUGCUACAUGAUGCUACAUGUUGCUACAUGAUAUGUCGCCACAUGCCGAUACAUGUUGCUACAUGAUGCUACAUGAUAUGUCGCCACAUGUCGCCACAUGCAGAUACAUGAUGCUACAUGUUAUGUCGCCACAUGCAGAUACAUGAUGCUACAUGUUAUGUUGCUACAUGCCGUUACAUGUUGCUACAUGAUGCUACAUGUUGCUACAUGAUAUGUCGCCACAUGCCGAUACAUGUUGCUACAUGAUGCUACAUGAUAUGUCGCCACAUGCCGAUACAUGUUGCUACAUGAUGCUACAUGUUAUGUCGCCACAUGCAGAUACAUGAUGCUACAUGUUAUGUCGCCACAUGCAGAUACAUGAUGCUACAUGUUAUGUUGCUACAUGCCGUUACAUGUUGCUACAUGAUGCUACAUGUUAUGUUGCUACAUGCCGUUACUUGUUGCCACAGGCUCCGAGAUACAGACACCAUUUAAAGUAUCAGUGUCCCUCCUCUUCUUCCUCCCCCUUUCUCUCCCCCUGGGCGUGUGGAUCAGAGGAGCUCGAGCCAGAGAAUAGAGGGGGAGGGAGGAUACAAACUGUCCUCAGCCAAGGUCUUUUAUUCGUCCUUCUCCAUCAUGACUCAGGAAAGAAGGGCUGAGUCAUUCCUCUGUACCACGGGGGAUGAGAAUGUCAGAAAUACAGUAAAAUAUCUUUAGAAAAAGCUCCUCGUCAUCGUGGAUCAAAGCAUUGUGUUGCCUUUGUGUCUUUGCGUUGAGUAAUGACCUGUUAUGUCCGUAGGAUUCUUAGUUUUCCCCGUUGUACAUUAUGUGGGUUUGCUAUGAAUGGAUUUGGGCGCCUUCAUGCACGUAGCCACAGCUCUGCACGCCGUGGGAGAACAGGCUGUUUGCAGCAGCGAGAAUGAAUUAAAGGACAACGUGCAUGUUGAGACCUCACUUCAUUCCUCCAAACCCUUUCACAUAUUAAUGGGCGUCCAGGCCAGAAGGUAGUCGGCAGGCUGAUGGUUUUCUGCUUGGCAGCGUGUUUUUCCUUCAGCUCUGCAGGAGUGGUAAAAGGUCAGGAGAGACGGGGAGACGUUCACAGCGAAAACUACAUUCAAGCCCAGAAGCCCGGGGAGAGCUUGGAGGCUCCGGUGGGCCCGACUGGACUCAUUAGUUAGAACGGCUGGCGCUCCGCUGUGGGUGCGAGGCCAGAAGAUCUGACACAAACAAAGCUGUGAAGUUAUUUUUUUAUCUUCAUUAGGAGCGAUUCACGCAAAGCGUCGAUGAAGACGAGUCGCUGCUCGGCUGAAAGGAGCUGCCUCUGACCUUGAGAGGGAGGGAGGUCAAAAGUUCCUUCUUCUCAACCUGACCUCAUGCAGCACUUUCCCACUGUUGGAAAUGUCUACAUGCAGACCUGCAAAUAAACACGCAUUUGUUCUCAUCUUUAAAAUAUAGCAUCAUAUUUGAGCCAAAUCACAAAUCUGUCAAGAAAGAUGGAAGUAGCUUUAAAGCUGCAUUUUAUCUUAUGGAAACCAGGGGCGACUGUGUGUAUAGAUAUAUAUAUAUAUAUAUAUAAUAUCUGUCACUACAUUUUGGGGCGAGGGGUCCGCAAAAUAAGUCAAAGAGACACUGAGUUAUGUCAAUAAAGAUGUUGAAAUAUUUAGUUAUGUUUAAUGAAACACUUGUAUGUGGAAUGAGACAUGAAGCCAGCGGCUCUGUGAGGAGACAGAGAGCCACCAAACAGAGUCCAUCAGCAAUUAAGAAUCCCAACCCCCCCCCCCCUCACGUCUCCUUGAACUCUAUUGGACGGCGGCGGCUGUGAUCUCGGCGUGCAGUUGGUCACUGUCAGGACGCCGCCCGUCCAGCUGAGGACGGGACGCCAGUUUACAUAAUGGAUUCCCAUCAGUGUCUGCUGGCUCAGACCAACGGCAUCGCGAGGUGGGAGAAGCUCAUUGAUGAGCAGAGAGAUGCGGUGGGAUGCAACGGGGUGAUGUUGGAUGCCGUUGGCUGCGGUGGGAUGCGGUUGGAUGCGGUGGGAUGCGUUGGAUGCCGGUGGGAUGCGGUCUUGGAGGCCUGGAUGUUGCCAUGUUUCAUUAAUUCAAGCAGGGAAGGAAGCGUCACCCUUUUGUUUUCAUAUGCAGAUAUUGUGAUCAUAUUGUGGUCAUUUAGAUGAUUGAACUCAUGCAGAAAAAUAUCCAUUACUGAAAUUCCUGAUAUGUUUAAAUUAAAACAAAUUAUACUUCAGUAAUAUUUGCCUCACAGGGUUGUGGUUACAUAUUAAUUAAACCUUGAUAUUCAACCAAAAACAGUAAAUUCAUCCUUCAUCACACAGAUCAAAUAUCAAACUAUAUCUACACACUGAUCUCCAUCAGGGCCGCACAAUUUAUCCAAAGUACUAAUCCAACUUUGGCUUUGAGCAAUUUGUUUUAAAUAUAUGAAUGUUCUGUAGUAACGUACAGAAGGACUUAUGAAAGCAAUCUUACCCCCCUGCCUCCCUCCCUCCCCCCCCUCCCUCCCCCUAAUACACAAACAAUCCACACUCGCCUCGGCCCGUUAAAUAAAACAUGCUGAAACUCUCUGUAAUUCCCCUUUAAGCGUCUGUGUACUAAUUUGUUUUUCCUGAAGCAGCGUCACGAGUCACUGCGGCGUUUCUCCAUCGGUAUCGAUGUGUUAAAUAUUAACCGCUGUCAGAAAAACUCUGUUUUAUGAGGACUGAUUUCAAGUUGGGACUCAAAUGGAUGAAAUCGAUUCAGUCAUCUCAAACACGCGUGUUGUUGACGUGUGGGAGACGUUUCCACAGCAGGAAUCACGUCACCGUCGUAAUUAGAUCAUUAGAACAAACAACGACUCCAUAUCUCCGCCAUGCAGCACCAGAAGGUUUGGACGCGUCCUCCGCCGUGCGUCUCUAUCUGGGUGGUUUUGUACUGUAUGUCCCUCGGGGCCAUCACGCAUGACGCAUUCCACAUAUGAAGGACAAGUAGUUUCUCACUGAUCCACAAUGCUCCCAAGUACUAAAAUAGAAUCAACAUAGAUCAGUGUUUUCUUUCUUUGAGGAACAGGAAGAACCUUCUGAAGGCUCAAGGGAUAAAUAAUGAAUUAAUUAAUAAAGAUCAAAUGGCACCAUAUCGUUCCAGGAUGCAUCUCAGCGCAUGAUUCAUGUUUCCAUUUGUUCCGUUGUGUUUCUGAACAAGAGAUGAUAACGUUGGAAAUGUUUCUCUUAAUCAGGUGUUCCAUUUCUGUACAGACAGACAGACAGACAGACAGACAGACAGACAGACAUGUGCCGUCAGCUGCUGACAACCUAUUGUCAUUGCUAACAGGCCGCGGCAGCCUGGCGACUAAUUAGCGACCCUUUUUUGCGCUCAUGGGGGUCUGGAGAAAUGCUUUGAGAGGCGGCGCCAGCAGGAAAGUCACAGGCGGGUCGGGCUGAGCGAAGCCGUCACGCCAUCGGGACGGAAGACAAGAGAACUGUGAAAAUGGCCCCUCAGCGCCGGGAGCAAAACUCUCACAUGGAGCUCGGCGUUGGCUGCGAGUCCCCCCGUCCCCCGUCCCCCCGUCCCCCCCUCCGGCCUGAUGGGGGUGGGACGUGGAUCUCCUUUAACAAGACAGACGCUCGAGACUGAAGGUCACGGGUCCUCAGCACACCACGGGGGGCCAAUGUGCUCCGUCCAAGGAGCAAAACCGCUUCCUACACGAUCGGCUCCAGAUUUACAUCCACGAAUACGUCGUCUAUAAAUGUCGCUUCACGUCUCUAAUUAUCAUUCUACGUCCACAAACGCGUCAAACAAGGACCGAUGUAUUCAGUUUUGGUUUGAAGUGUUUCUGACACUUGUCUCUUCAGUCUGACCUCAACGUUGUGUGUUUGCAGCCGUGAUCGUCACUCAGUGGACAAUAUGCAUCAAUAUAAGAGAAAUAAAAGUUGUUCAGUGGAAUUCUUCAUGUACUGUACUGCUUGUUUCCACGUGACAAUGAGGUCUACCAAUGUUAUGAAUAUUUCAUGUUACAUCACCUUCUUGCACAGAUGCAUUGGUCACAUGACUGUCGGUCAUGUGUGGUUUAAUAUCAUCGUGAUCCGGACCCCUUGAGGUGAGGAGACAUCGUGCAAGCUCAGCAGGCGUCAUUAAAUUCUGGACUUUUGGGUUAUUCCAUUUUAAAAACUUUUAAUCUCUAAUGUCCAAUAAAUGCUGAAGCAGAUAUAAUGUGGGAGAAAAAUAGGAUUAAACUUCAAUCAUUUGCGGAUGAGUUGCCUCCCAUUGGUCCGGCGUCAUUAAAAGUCAGACGUUUCCCUCGCUCGGAUCGCUCCAAACAUUUUCAUUUAAUUCUUACGGUGUAGAUCCAAGGAAGCAAAAUUAAAACAAGUUUUUCUUAGAAGAAGAGAAAAAACAUGGAGUCAGUCGGCCGUCUGAUGGAACCCUAAAGCUCAUGAGCGCCUCCAUCUGACCCCCCAUCUGACCCCCCAUCUGACCCCCCAUCUGAC